rnacentral:tRNA from 1 species
UGCGGGAUCGUCUAACGGUAGGACUCCUCCCUCUGGAGGAGGGUAUCUUGGUUCGAAUCCAAGUCCCGCAG